rnacentral:lncRNA from 12 species
AGCCCCAGCCCCAGCCCCCUCCUGCGCUCUGCUCUGCUGGCUGCGUCCAAGGGGACACGACUGACCCCAGUGAGCGCUUCAGCGCGGACAGGAGCUUCUGCAGAGCAGGCCUGUCUGCUCGGGCCAAUCGCUGCCUUUAUCAGCGCUGUGCAAGCGGCUCAUUUGCAGCUGGCGGGUGUAGUCCACCCCUUCAGCCCCUGGCAGGGACAGCCUCGGGUGCCUGAGCACGGCCGGCUCGGCGCCAGCGGGGAUUAACCUGCCGAGCCGCGCAGCGCUCCUCCUGCAGCGCAUUCCGGCCCAACUACAGGCUCCAGCAGACCUGGAAACUCCCUUUAGCUCCUCCAUUUCCAGCGCCUCAUUCACACUCACUCUGGAGGAUGAAUAAAAAUAACCAGCCACCCAGGCAGCCUGACUACUGCACAGAAACCACACGAGCCAAGAAAUUUCUAAACAGUCUUUGUACAGCCAAGGACUUCACCGGACAACACUGGAGUGGCU